UCUGGCGCUGCAGUCACACUCAUAGCGAAUAGCCAUACGCUUAUUUUUCAGCAAGUUAUAAAAUUUUUCUCAUUGCACUAACAUUUUAUAUUUAACUUUCACAUGUUUAUUUUCAACAAGAGUAUAAUUCAACGAAAUUAUGUCCACUGCGAGCGCUGCGAUCGAUUCAGUUGUCCCUACCAUGUACUAGGCUCCCUGCUAACAUUAAUAGUACUUAACACAUAAAGCGAAUCGUCUUUGAAGUUGAGCACGACUGCACGGUAGGAACGUUAUUAAACACGUGUUACUUGGGGAAUAUGUCAUUGAAAUGAAAAAAUCUCAAUUUGAUUUUCUAUUCUUGCUUUAUUUAUAACCGAUAUUUAUUUAAUUUUUUCUUAUCAAUAAUUAAAAUAUCUCGCCUUUUUGUCUUAGAUGACGCUCUUUUUUUCCAAACCUAUACAGUUACUCUAGUGCUGCUGCCAGUAGUUAAGGGAGAGUAAAUGGCCAAAAAAAGUACCGUUUAAAGAGCCUUUGCGAUUGAGGUUUGCAAAAAGUGCAUUAAAAAUGAAAAUCUGUAUUUCUUUAAAUUUGAGUAAUAAAUUAAUGAAUGAUAUUUUAUUUUUCAUAGUAUCUUAAGUAACUAGUGCUAUAGAGUGUACUGCUUGAGUUCCGGGCCAGGGAACAUGGGCGCCAGUGAGUGUUGCCAACCAAACGAGAGUAUUAUACUUGCUAGCACUGUAUUCUGCGACAUUUUAUAUAAUGAAUGCUCAAAAUAAAAACGCCGUUAAUUUUCUAAAGACGGCGUCAUGCAGUAGUAAUUAUUUUAGUGAUUCGUCUUUAUAAAAAACAAUAUGUUAUUUAUUUUGUUCAGUUUAUUUAUCAAGUUAUAAAAAAACUUACUCAACUGUUUAUGUAUUUAAUUAUUAAAAACGCAAUUAAAUAUUCAUUUAUUUAAUCGAAAUUAAAAUCAUAUUCAUAACUUAUGAUCCUAUUAAUCAGCAAACAUUAGUACUAACCUAAUAAAAAGUCUGAUACAUAUUUUAUUUUAUUUAAAAAUAAGGUUAUAAACUGAAAAUGACGCAUUAUGAUGAUCUAAAGUGGUUUGCCGAUAAAUUUAAGGCGCAUGUGCAAUCUAGAGAAUUUUUUUUUUUGCUAGUGAUGGAGCUUUAAGUAAAAGCGAGUUUAAACCGGUAACCUAUCUUGUACAUUUCGAUAACUUGGACUACAGAGCGGGGAUAUGUCACGUCCAUUUUCGUAAAAUUUCGGGGAGAGAGGUUGCUCUAGUGCUUUUAGAAAAAUUAAACACUGCAUCCGGCCAAUCAGAAAUGAUCAGUGUUCAAUGAAAAAGUUAAUGAGACGGACGUUAGGUAUUUAACAGCAUUUAUUCUGAGCAUUUGUUAUACAUAAAAAAAAAAUUAAAUCGAGAAAAAAAUUAAUUCACUUUUUUAUCCCAUAUGAAAUUGAAGUGUGCACUUUUUGAAUUUCCAAACUUUUUUUCAUUAACGCAAUACAGUUUUCACACAAAUUACAACCUUGAAAAAAUGAUUCAUUUUAUAAACAAAAAAAAAUUACUUUAUCUGAACUCUCAAUGGUCACUAGGGAGGCCCAAAAAAACCGACUAUUUUUUUUUUCGAGUCUCUUAUGAAAAUUCGAUGGUUUACGAUGUUUUCAGAAGCCUCUUCUAAAAUCGGCUUGAUAAAAAAUUUUCAAAAGGUCACACAUGAGUUUUGAAAACAUUAAAAAUGAUUGAAACUCGGAGUUUUUGUUCCUAAAUUUUUUCUUUUUCGUGGCAGCAAUAGUGUAUAUUUGUAAAAUCAUGUUUAUGCUGAAAAUUUCGGCCCAAAAUUUAAAUAUUUAAACGGCGCUCAAGAAUUUUGAAUAUUAACUGAUAAUUCGUAACUAAUAGUUUGAAAUAGUUGUUGCAUUUUUUUUAUGACUCAAUUAUUGUCAUUAAGUAAAAUAUAACUUUUUCAUAACCAAAAAUAUACAGGACAGUCUUAAACAUUAAAAUUUGGUAAGUUUUAAAUAAGCGAAAAACCGAAAAAUUGAAUUAAAAACAAAAAAGUAUGCAAAUAACUUAUUAUUUCUAUUUCUCUGUUAUAUUUUUAUUCAUUGCGAUGCAAAUCGAUGGUGAAAAAAUCGAGAAGCUUUAUUAUCAAUAUUCAAGGGUUGUUCAAAAACGUUGAAAAGACAGCACUCGGAAACAUUUAAAAUUCUUAAGCGAGGUCCCUAGCGAAUUCGAACAUACCGAAAUUUGGAGUAUAUUUUGAGUGUGUUUUGGACAUAGUAUACAUUUGAUAACAUUUGGGUACAGUUUACGAAUAAUGGCCUAAUCAUACUGAAAUAAUACCGAAAUUGAAGUAAAUGUUGGGUAUGUUUGUGAACUUUUCAUACCCAAAUUAUACUGAAGAAAAUCAUUAUUCGUGAAAUAUGGUAUAGAUGACGUUUAUAAAUCAAAUGUCAUUUUACUGUUCAGCUUGAAUACUAUUGUACCAAUUAUACAAAUACAAUAUUAUGUAUUUUUCUAAAAUCAACUCAUACACUCACAUUUUUGAGAGUGGAAAGAUUUAAUUACAUAUAAUAAAAACUUUAUAUUCUCAAUUGUUUUACUGGCGCUGUUAGUGUAAGUUAUAAAUAAUUGUGUCGACUAAUAAAAAAUAAUGGAAGUGAAUAGGCUCUACAUAGAACAAGAUUUUCGAAGCGUACGAAAAAACCUAACCCUAAACAAAAUUUCUAUCAAGAGGCCACAGAUUUUCUAAAAAACGAUCGAUUUGCUCGAAAGAACCUGAACGAGAAGUCUGUAAUAUUUCCCAACAAGCGGUCAAAGAAAUUUAUUUAAAAAUAAUUGGAAAUUUUUUUUAUUAAUAAAAUCAAAAACCUUCUCAUUUUUAGUGUUCUAAAAAGAAUUUAAUAAAAUAACGAAUUUACAAUUUAUUAAAAAUUUCAAAAUUUGAAUAAACAUGUAUUUUAUUUCUCUCCUCUCAAUUUCUUACUUUUGUGAUAAAUCGAUUUUAUAGGUUAAUAGAUUAAAAUUUGACUCUGCUAAAUUCAGCAAUUAAGAAAAAAAAUUAGAGUACUUUUUAGGUCUAUAAUGUUCACAUACAUACCCAAAAUAGAGGCAUUAUGUAGGUAUAAUUUGGGUUGUUUUUUGGUAUAUUACCGAAAAACGACCGAAACUGGGCUAUAAUUCAGUGGAUAUUUUUAGUAUUUUUUAAAUAUGACCGGGUUCGCUAGGAGUUUAAAUAUUUAAAUUUUGGGCUUAAAUUUUCAGCGUAGUCAUGAUUUUACAAAUAUAAACUAUUGCUGUCACGAGAAAGAAAAAAAUUGGAAAUAAAAAAUUCAAAUUUCGAUCAUUUUUGGUAUUUUCAAAAUAUGUGAGCGACCUCUUGAAAAUUUUCUAAAGAGCUGAUUUUUGGAGAGGCUUCUUAAAACAUCGUAAACCCACAAAUUUUCAUAAGAGACUCAAAAAAAAAAAAUAGUCGGUUUUUUUAGGUCACCUUACUGGUCACAUUGAAUCCAUAUAACCCCAGAAAAGUUUAAACUCAACAUACCUAACUAGCUAUUCAAUUUUUCCAAAAAGUACAAAAUAUUUUUUUUUGUAAAAACAAAAGUCCCUAACACUUUUUCAUAACUGAAUACUUAGAAAAAAUUUUCAAAAACCCGUUUUUUUUUUUUAAUUUAAAAUUUUACAUCUGAAAUGUGAUCACCGAGAAUUGAAUAAUUGAAAUUUUCUAAAACAAAUUUCUUAUCAUAAAACAUUUUUUUUUUAACAAUAAUUUAAAAAUAAUUUCUAGUUAAAUUAUUUAAAAAAAUUAAAACAAAACACAGUAAUUUUAGAUACUAAAAUUUAGUUACGAAUGUAGAAAUUACAGGAAAUAAAUCGUGUCGAAAAAAAAUUAAAUGAAUAUUAAGAAUAUUAAUAUAAUUAAUUUGUUAAUCACCACUCACUUGAUUAAAUAAUAAAUAAAAUUUAAUCCAUCAGUA